GAUGAACGCUGGCGGCGUGCCUAAUACAUGCAAGUCGAGCGAACAGACGAGGAGCUUGCUCCUCUGACGUUAGCGGCGGACGGGUGAGUAACACGUGGAUAACCUACCUAUAAGGCUGGGAUAACUUCGGGAAACCGGAGCUAAUACCGGAUAAUAUAUUGAACCGCAUGGUUCAAUAGUGAAAGACGGUUUUGCUGUCACUUAAAGAUGGAUCCGCGCCGCAUUAGCUAGUUGGUAAGGUAACGGCUUACCAAGGCAACGAUGCGUAGCCGACCUGAGAGGGUGAUCGGCCACACUGGAACUGAGACACGGUCCAGACUCCUACGGGAGGCAGCAGUAGGGAAUCUUCCGCAAUGGGCGAAAGCUUGACGGAGCAACGCCGCGUGAGUGAUGAAGGUCUUCGGAUCGUAAAACUCUGUUAUUAGGGAAGAACAAAUGUGUAAGUAACUAUGCACGUCUUGACGGUACCUAAUCAGAAAGCCACGGCUAACUACGUG
rnacentral:rRNA from 1 species